GAUGAACGCUGACAGAAUGCUUAACACAUGCAAGUCAACUUGAAUUUGGGUUUUUAACUUAGGUUUGGGUGGCGGACGGGUGAGUAACGCGUAAAGAAGUUGCCUCACAGCUAGGGACAACAUUUGGAAACGAAUGCUAAUACCUAAUAUUAUGAUAAUAGGGCAUCCUAUAAUUAUGAAAGCUAUAAGCGCUGUGAGAGAGCUCUGCGUCCCAUUAGCUAGUUGGAGAGGUAACGGCUCACCAAGGCGAUGAUGGGUAGCCGGCCUGAGAGGGUGAUCGGCCACAAGGGGACUGAGACACGGCCCUUACUCCUACGGGAGGCAGCAGUGGGGAAUAUUGGACAAUGGACCAAGAGUCUGAUCCAGCAAUUCUGUGUGCACGAUGAAGUUUUUCGGAAUGUAAAGUGCUUUCAGUUGGGAAGAAAGAAAUGACGGUACCAACAGAAGAAGUGACGGCUAAAUACGUG
rnacentral:rRNA from 1 species